rnacentral:sRNA from 1 species
GGUUCUUGGUUCAGAGUUUGCAUCUUGUUUGAGCCGUCACCGUUUCUUAGACUUAACAGCCACAACA